UACGUGAGGACCAAGCGUUGUUCGGAUUUACUGGGCGUAAAGGGCGCGUAGGCGGCGUGGUAAGUCACUUGUGAAAUCUCUGAGCUUAACUCAGAACGGCCAAGUGAUACUGCUGUGCUAGAGUGCAGAAGGGGCAAUCGGAAUUCUUGGUGUAGCGGUGAAAUGCGUAGAUAUCAAGAGGAACACCUGAGGUGAAGACGGGUUGCUGGGCUGACACUGACGCUGAGGCGCGAAAGCCAGGGGAGCAAACAGG
rnacentral:rRNA from 1 species